CUUUAACACUGAGGCGUGACGACGAGGCACUACGGUGCUGAAGCAACAAAUGCCCUGCUUCCAGGAAAAGCCUCUAAGCAUCAGGUAACAUCAAAUCGUACCCCAAACCGACACAGGUGGUCAGGUAGAGAAUACCAAGGCGCUUGAGAGAACUCGGGUGAAGGAACUAGGCAAAAUGGUGCCGUAACUUCGGGAGAAGGCACGCUGACACGUAGGUGAAGUGAUUUACUCAUGGAGCUGAAGUCAGUCGAA
rnacentral:rRNA from 1 species